CCUACGGGUGGCAGCAGUGAGGAAUAUUGGUCAAUGGACGCGAGUCUGAACCAGCCAAGUCGCGUGAAGGAUGACGGCCCUAUGGGUUGUAAACUUCUUUUAUAUGGGUAUAAACUAUUCCACGUGUGGGAUUUUGUAUGUCCCCUAUGUAUAAGCAUCGGCUAACUCCGUUCCAGCAGCCGCGAUAAUACGGAGGAUGCGCGCGUUAUCCGGAUUUAUUGGGUGUUAAGGGUGCGUAGGUGGAUUGUUAAGUCAGUUGUGAAAGUUUGGGGCUCAACCGUAAAAUUGCUGUUGAAACUGGGAGACUUGAGUGCAGUAGAGGUAGGCGGAAUUCGUGGUGUAGCGGUGAAAUGCUUAGAUAUCACGAAGAACUCCGAGUGCGAAGGCAGCUCACUGGACUGUAACUGACACUGAGGCACGAAAGUGUGGGUAUCAAACAGGAUUAGAUACCCUUGUAGUC
rnacentral:rRNA from 1 species